rnacentral:rRNA from 1 species
AUGUAUCAUGAGGGCGUCACCUGCGGCAUCACUUGCAUCGACCUCUCACCGAUCACCGUCCCGAGGAUGCACGACAGACUGGCGGAGCAGGGCACCAGUGAUUGUUUCACCAAUUUGCUCGACUCAUGGUUCCCUUCCUCUGUCCACGCAACGCUGCCCAUUGUUGCUAACUUGUUAAUUCAUCAGGCCCAUUAUUGCGGCUACAUAGUCUGUUAA